rnacentral:rRNA from 1 species
GACGAACCGUGCGAACGUUGUUCGGAAUCACUGGGCUUAAAGGGCGCGUAGGCGGGCAUCAAAGCCAAGGGUGAAAGCCCCCGGCUCAACCGGGGAAGGGCCUUUGGAACUGGAUGCCUCGAGGGGUGCAGGGGCGUGCGGAACUCAGGGUGGAGCGGUGAAAUGCGUAGAUAUUGGGAGGAACACCGGUGGCGAAGGCGGCUCACUGGACCGGUUCUGACGCUGAGGCGCGAAAGCGUGGGGAGCAAACGGG